rnacentral:rRNA from 1 species
GAUGAACGCUGGCGGCGUGCCUAAUACAUGCAAGUCGAGCGAACAGACGAGGAGCUUGCUCCUCUGACGUUAGCGGCGGACGGGUGAGUAACACGUGGAUAACCUACCUAUAAGACUGGGAUAACUUCGGGACACCGGAGCUAAUACCGGAUAAUAUAUUGAACCGCAUGGUUCAAUAGUGAAAGACGGUUUUGCUGUCACUUAUAGCUGGAUCCGCGCCGCAUUAGCUAGUUGGUAAGGUAACGGCUUACCAAGGCAACGAUGCGUAGACGACCUGAGAGGGUGAUCGGCCACACUGGAACUGAGACACGGUCCAGACUCCUACGGGAGGCAGCAGUAGGGAAUCUUCCGCAAUGGGCGAAAGCCUGACGGAGCAACGCCGCGUGAGUGAUGAAGGUCUUCGGAUCGUAAAACUCUGUUAUUAGGGAAGAACAAAUGUGUAAGUAACUAUGCACGUCUUGACGGUACCUAAUCAGAAAGCCACGGCUAACUACGUG